rnacentral:rRNA from 1 species
GAUGAACGCUGGCGGCGUGCCUAAUACAUGCGAGUCGAGCGAACAGACAAGGAGCUUGCUCCUUUGACGUUAGCGGCGGACGGGUGAGUAACACGUGGAUAACCUACCUAUAAGACUGGGAUAACUUCGGGAAACCGGAGCUAAUACCGGAUAAUAUAUUGAACCGCAUGGUUCAAUAGUGAAAGGCGGCUUUGCUGUCACUUAUAGAUGGAUCCGCGCCGUAUUAGCUAGUUGGUAAGGUAACGGCUUACCAAGGCAACGAUACGUAGCCGACCUGAGAGGGUGAUCGGCCACACUGGAACUGAGACACGGUCCAGACUCCUACGGGAGGCAGCAGUAGGGAAUCUUCCGCAAUGGGCGAAAGCCUGACGGAGCAACGCCGCGUGAGUGAUGAAGGUCUUCGGAUCGUAAAACUCUGUUAUCAGGGAAGAACAAAUGUGUAAGUAACUGUGCACAUCUUGACGGUACCUGAUCAGAAAGCCACGGCUAACUACGUG